GACGAACGCUGGCGGCGUGCUUAACACAUGCAAGUCGAACGGAAAGGCCCUGCUUUUGUGGGGUGCUCGAGUGGCGAACGGGUGAGUAACACGUGAGUAACCUGCCCUUGACUUUGGGAUAACUUCAGGAAACUGGGGCUAAUACCGGAUAGGAGCUCCUGCUGCAUGGUGGGGGUUGGAAAGUUUCGGCGGUUGGGGAUGGACUCGCGGCUUAUCAGCUUGUUGGUGGGGUAGUGGCUUACCAAGGCUUUGACGGGUAGCCGGCCUGAGAGGGUGACCGGCCACAUUGGGACUGAGAUACGGCCCAGACUCCUACGGGAGGCAGCAGUGGGGAAUAUUGCACAAUGGGCGGAAGCCUGAUGCAGCAACGCCGCGUGCGGGAUGACGGCCUUCGGGUUGUAAACCGCUUUCGCCUGUGACGAAGCGUGAGUGACAGUAAUGGGUAGAGAAGCACCGGCUAACUACGUGCCAGCAGCCGCGGUGAUACGUAGGGUGCGAGCGUUGUCCGGAUUUAUUGGGCGUAAAGGGCUCGUAGGUGGUUGAUCGCGUCGGAAGUGUAAUCUUGGGGCUUAACCCUGAGCGUGCUUUCGAUACGGGUUGACUUGAGGAAGGUAGGGGAGAAUGGAAUUCCUGGUGGAGCGGUGGAAUGCGCAGAUAUCAGGAGGAACACCAGUGGCGAAGGCGGUUCUCUGGGCCUUUCCUGACGCUGAGGAGCGAAAGCGUGGGGAGCGAACAGGCUUAGAUACCCUGGUAGUCCACGCUGUAAACGGUGGGUACUAGGUGUGGGGUCCAUUCCACGGGUUCCGUGCCGUAGCUAACGCUUUAAGUACCCCGCCUGGGGAGUACGGCCGCAGGGCUAAAACUCAAAGGAAUUGACGGGGCCCCGCACAAGCGGCGGAGCAUGCGGAUUAAUUCGAUGCAACGCGUAGAACCUUACCUGGGUUUGACAUGGAUCGGGAGUGCUCAGAGAUGGGUGUGCCUCUUUUGGGGUCGGUUCACAGGUGGUGCAUGGCUGUCGUCAGCUCGUGUCGUGAGAUGUUGGGUUAAGUCCCGCAACGAGCGCAACCCUUGUUCACUGUUGCCAGCACGUUAUGGUGGGGACUCAGUGGAGACCGCCGGGGUCAACUCGGAGGAAGGUGGGGAUGACGUCAAGUCAUCAUGCCCCUUAUGUCCAGGGCUUCACGCAUGCUACAAUGGCUGGUACAGAGAGUGGCGAGCCUGUGAGGGUGAGCGAAUCUCGGAAAGCCGGUCUCAGUUCGGAUUGGGGUCUGCAACUCGACCUCAUGAAGUCGGAGUCGCUAGUAAUCGCAGAUCAGCAACGCUGCGGUGAAUACGUUCCCGGGGCU
rnacentral:rRNA from 1 species